rnacentral:rRNA from 1 species
UACGGAGGGUGCGAGCGUUGUCCGGAAUCAUUGGGCGUAAAGGGCGCGUAGGAGGCCCGGUCAGUUCGUGGUGAAAGCGCGGGGCUCAACCCUGCGUCGGCCAUGAAUACUGCCGCGGCUGGAGCACUGUAGAGGCAGGCGGAAUUCCGGGUGUAGCGGUGGAAUGCGUAGAGAUCCGGAAGAACACCGGUGGCGAAGGCGGCCUGCUGGGCAGUUGCUGACACUGAGAAGCGAAAGCAUGGGGAGCGAACAGG